rnacentral:rRNA from 1 species
CCUACGGGAGGCAGCAGUGGGGAAUUUUGGACAAUGGGCGCAAGCCUGAUCCAGCAAUGCCGCGUGCAGGAUGAAGGCCUUCGGGUUGUAAACUGCUUUUGUACGGAACGAAACGGUGAGCUCUAAUACAGUUUGCUAAUGACGGUACCGUAAGAAUAAGCACCGGCUAACUACGUGCCAGCAGCCGCGGUAAUACGUAGGGUGCGAGCGUUAAUCGGAAUUACUGGGCGUAAAGCGUGCGCAGGCGGUGAUGUAAGACAGAUGUGAAAUCCCCGGGCUCAACCUGGGACCUGCAUUUGUGACUGCAUCGCUAGAGUACGGUAGAGGGGGGAUGGAAUUCCGCGUGUAGCAGUGAAAUGCGUAGAUAUGCGGAGGAACACCGAUGGCGAAGGCAAUCCCCUGGACCUGUACUGACGCUCAUGCACGAAAGCGUGGGGAGCAAACAGGAUUAGAUACCCUGGUAGUCCACGCCCUAAACGAUGUCAACUGGUUGUUGGGUCUUCACUGACUCAGUAACGAAGCUAACGCGUGAAGUUGACCGCCUGGGGAGUACGGCCGCAAGGUUGAAACUCAAAAUGAAUUGACGG